GGAGUUGUGGCUCAGUGGUAGAACACUUGCCUGGCAUGCAUGAGGCCCUGGGUUCAAUCCUCAGCACUGCA
rnacentral:tRNA from 1 species